GAAAUGCGAUAAGUAAUGUGAAUUGCAGAAUUCAGUGAAUCAUCGAAUCUUUGAACGCACCUUGCGCUCCUUGGUAUUCCUUGGAGCAUGCCUGUUUGAGUAGCAUGAAAUCUUCAAAGUAAAUCUUUUGUUAACUCAAUUGGUUUCUACUUUGGUAUUGGAGGUCUUUGCAGCUUCACACCUGCUCCUCUUUGUUCAUUAGCUGGAUCUCAGUGUUAUGCUUGGUUCCACUCGGCGUGAUAAGUUAUCUAUCGCUGAGGACACUGUAAAAGGUGGCCAAGGUAAAUGCAGAUGAACCGCUUCUAAUAGUCCAUUGACUUGGACAAUACUUUUAUGAUCUGAUCUCAAAUCAGGUAGGACUACCCGCUGAACUUAAGC
rnacentral:misc_RNA from 1 species